UUCUCCUUAAUUAAGAAUCUACAACGCCGUUGAUAUUACCCUUGGGAAAUUGAAAUCAGACUAAUGAUGUAAAGUAAAAGUAAAAGAAGGAGGCAGGAGUUAAGGUCCUGGUCGAACUUAUUCAAUCGGGGUUGGAAUGAUGGGCCUAAUUAAAUAAAAGGAUGAGUGGAGACAGAGGGAGGGCAAAAAUCCUUUCAUCAGUCGAGACCUGACAGCGUUGAGAAGAUAGCUUCAGGGAGAAUGAAGUUGAAGACUGAGAGGGGGAGGGGGGAGGGGAUGAGAGACCACGGUCGAGAAGUUCCUUUCAAAUUUUACUUUCUACCUCGUUCUCGGGGUCGUGCAGUCGGUUUCGUUCACACGAUUUAUAAACAUCGCUCUAGCCGAGAAAAAUACAAGAGGGUCUCAACGCAUGUGCAUUUAGAGAUUUAUCAAAGCACAUGUAAGGCAUGUAUAGGUAAGUUUAUUCGCCAUCUACAGGUGAUCAGUUGAUGCCGCUAGAAAUACAACUGCUGGAGAACUUUUAAACGAGUUUGCAUACUUUAACAGACUUUAAGAAUAACUGAAGAAAAUGUUAUAAUUAAGCAAUGAAUAUGGAUUUUGUUAACCAGGGGAAGGUUUGCGGACGUA